AACACACUGGAUCAUGAUGGAGCACAGAUCAGCACUGCUCAUUUUAAUCGUCUGUUUUAUGGGUAUUGAUGGUCAGACUCUGACAGAGUCCGAAUCAGUGGUUAAAAGACCAGGAGAAUCCCACAAAAUAACCUGUACAGCCUCUGGAUUCACAUUCAGCAACCACUGGAUCGCCUGGAUCAGAAGGAAUCCUGGAAAAGGAUCGGAGUGGGUUGCUUCUGUCACUACUGGUAGUGGCACAUACUACUCUCAGUCAGUUCAAGGCCGGUUUACCAUCUCUAGAGACAACAGCAAGCAGCAGGUCUAUCUGCAGAUGAACAGUCUGAACACAGAGGAUUCUGCUGUUUAUUACUGUGCUCGAGUCUCACUGUGAUUGAAGUCGGUUCAGCAGCUGUACAAAAACCUUGAGUGCCUUUUAUCUUAUAAGACACUAACGGUGUUUUAGUGACUGUACUGAUACUGAGGAAGAGAACAAUUAGAACUAUUUUGUUUUCUCUCCACCAUCAGGAACAUAAAUCAAAUUUAAGAUAAAAACAUGACUGUGUUUAACUGUGUAACAAGAAUAAAGAAUCCACUGCCUUAU